UUUGUGUAUGAAUUACCCUACUGACUCUUACCAUUUUUUAUAUUUAUGUGAACCUCUUGUUACUGUAUAUUUCUCCAUAAGCAAUCAGAUUCUAUUCGUCACUGUAGUAGUUUAACUGUCUUUAAUAAAAAUAUCUUCACUAUUCCUUUGCCCGGCUGCAACUUCGUGCUCUUUCCGAAACUUGAAAAAGUAGAAGCAUUGUUAGGCGAGCCCACUCUCCCGCUUCAACCCGUUCAGCUUGUUUGGAAAUUCUUUAGUACCUGAUUGGUGGCUUAUUUAUAUUUUUGACGUGAACAGGAAUAUCUCAUGACCCGUCGGAACUGAAAAAAAGUCACUAAACAUGGCAUAAUCCUUCUAGCCAAAAGAAAUUUAUAUUGAAAAAACGGGCGCUGCCAAAGAAAAAACGAGCAGAUACCUUCCUAAACGCAAUAAAGUUUAACGAAAAAAAGCCAGGAGCAGUCGUACUGUACAGUGGUAAAAGAUACUCAAGUAAGUCUUGGGGAGCGCUGCGCAAGAAUGUUAAUUCUGGUAUCUACGUAAUGUCUAACAUAUAAAAGAGUGUCAGAUACACAAACCAGCAAAGUGAAAUUUUAACAAGUACAAAAUGUUUUCUUCCUUUCUGGCUUCUGUUUAGCUUACUUUGCGGAGUAAAAGAGGCUUUUAUAAAACCAUCUGGUAGUAGAAAAGAAAGCUACCAGUUACGAUACAAAAGGACAUUGAUGAUCAGCAAAGGAGACCACUACUCUCCUCCUCAACCGUUCUUUCUUGAUACUCCAAUAUAAAGCGCUUCAUCUCGUCCCUCUCGGCCUCUUCUUCUUGAUGUCUGUUUCUAAAAUUUACUACCCAGCUAGAUUCCUAGAAAGAACAAAUAGAUGGAAAAGGCAGAGUGGCUUAUCAAUAACAAACCUUUGGAAGCUCGAUUUUCUUAAAGUGGUGUUUGCACCCUUUCCCUCUCGUCAUGACCCUCCAUGAAGUCUCGGAAAAUUUGCUUGCUAUUAGACGAGAUGCGUCAUAAGUUUUCGACUGAGAAUGAUAGCUGAGAGAGCUAGGAACACCGUUUUCCUUACGGUGGAUGGAAGGUAGCGCGAGAUCCGAGACCGAGGAACCAGGUGUGUUCCGCCCCGAAAUAUGCGAUUCAUCUGAAAAUGCCUAAAAUAAAUCUGCAUUCGUAAA